UUUAAUUGAAGAGUUUGAUCAUGGCUCAGAUUGAACGCUGGCGGCAGGCUUAACACAUGCAAGUCGAGCGGUAGCACAGGGGAGCU
rnacentral:rRNA from 1 species